rnacentral:rRNA from 1 species
UAGUAUUCAAUUGUCAGAGGUGAAAUUCUUGGAUUUAUUGAAGACUAACUACUGCGAAAGCAUUUGCCAAGGAUGUUUUCAUUAAUCAAGAACGAAAGUUAGGGGAUCGAAGACGAUAAGAUACCGUCGUAGUCUUAACCAUAAACUAAGCCGACUAGGGAUCGGAUGAUGUUAAUUUUUUAAUGACUCA